CCUACAAGCGCCCAUGGCAGAUUAUUGGUUGGGACAAGGUUGCGAAGCUCAUAGAAGAAUUCCACCCGAGAAGAAUGGUCGUGAGGUCUAUAGAUGUUAGUGAUAAUGAACUCGGUAUUUGUUCAUUUGCUGUUGAACUGAAUGGUUAGAGAGAAUCUUUCUCGAUGGAUUAGAUUUCCUAUCAUUUUAUUUAGGUCCCA
rnacentral:lncRNA from 1 species